GACGGAGGAUGCAAGUGUUAUCCGGAAUCACUGGGCGUAAAGCGUGCGUAGAUGGUUUGUUAAGUCUGUUGUGAAAGCCCCGGGCUCAACCUGGGAAUGGCAAUGGAUACUGGCAGGCUAGAGUGCGGUAGAGGGUAGUGGAAUUCCCGGUGUAGCGGUGAAAUGCGUAGAUAUCAGGAGGAAUACCGAUGGCGAAGGCAGGUCUCUGGGCUGACACUGACGCUCAUGCACGAAAGGCGUGGGGAGCAA
rnacentral:rRNA from 1 species